UACGUAGGGUGCGAGCGUUUGUCCGGAAUUACUGGGCGUAAAGAGCUCGUAGGUGGUUUGUCGCGUUGUUCGUGAAAUCCCACGGCUUAACUGUGGGCGUGCGGGCGAUACGGGCAGACUGGAGUACUGCAGGGGAGACUGGAAUUCCUGGUGUAGCGGUGGAAUGCGCAGAUAUCAGGAGGAACACCGGUGGCGAAGGCGGGUCUCUGGGCAGUAACUGACGCUGAGGAGCGAAAGCAUGGGGAGCGAACAGG
rnacentral:rRNA from 1 species